rnacentral:misc_RNA from 1 species
UAAUAAGUGUUUUAUGGCACUUUUUAAAUCCAUAUCCACCUUGUGUGCAAUGUCAGUCGUAUUCUUUCGUCAUGAGAGAUCGACCAAGCAUCAACUUAUUCUAUUAACUCUUUGUCUGAAAACUAUUAUGAAUAAACUAAUUCAAAAUA